CUCUCUCUCUCUCUCUCUCUCUCUCUCUCUCAAUCCGAAGAAACCCUAGCCUCUGUCCCUCACUACCGAUCGAAGACAAGAAUCAAGAUGGCCUCCCUUUCCUCCCUCAUUGCCGAUCGAAGAAAAGAAAAAGAUUUGCAGAGGGUCUCAAACUAGUGGACACUGGUAGCUAUCGGUGAGAUCUAACAAAGGGGGAAAUCCUUCGCUUUCUGUCUGAGGAUGCACAAGUGUUGGGUGCUCUGUCGUUUUCUUCAUCGGUCGAGCAAUGGAAGAUCUCAGAAGUUCUCUCUACAAUGAGCUAUGAACCUCCGAAGGUGCGAAGUGCCAACAUCGGCAGUUUUGUGGGCCAGUGGUGGCAUUGACCUUUUCUUUCUUGUGUUUUUUGGUAGUUUAUGCUUGUAAGGAGUAAGCAAGUAGCACAGGUUUUUGGCUUAAUUUGAGUUACUUGAUUUGAGCUAAUAGUUGAUAGUUUUAGAUCCCUUUUUUUCUUUUUUCUGCUGCUUUUUUUUUUUCUGGGAAG